GUAGGGUGCGAGCGUUAAUCGGAAUUACUGGGCGUAAAGCGUGCGCAGGCGGUUCUAUAAGACAGAUGUGAAAUCCCCGGGCUCAACCUGGGAAUGGCAUUUGUGACUGUAGAGCUAGAGUACGGUAGAGGGGGAUGGAAUUCCGCGUGUAGCAGUGAAAUGCGUAGAUAUGCGGAGGAACACCGAUGGCGAAGGCAAUCCCCUGGACCUGUACUGACGCUCAUGCACGAAAGCGUGGGGAGCAAACAGGAUUAGAUACCCUGGUAGUCCACGCCCUAAACGAUGUCAACUGGUUGUUGGGUGCAUUAGUACUCAGUAACGAAGCUAACGCGUGAAGUUGACCGCCUGGGGAGUACGGCC
rnacentral:rRNA from 1 species